rnacentral:rRNA from 1 species
UGAGGGAUAUUGGGCAAUGGGGGAAACCCUGACCCAGCGACGCCGCGUGAGGGAAGACGGUCUUCGGAUUGUAAACCUCUGUCUUUGGGGACGAAGAAGGACGGUACCCAAGGAGGAAGCUCCGGCUAACUACGUGCCAGCAGCCGCGGUAAUACGUAGGGAGUGAGCGUUGUCCGGAAUUACUGGGUGUAAAGGGAGCGUAGGCGGGAUUGCAAGUUGGAUGUGAAAACUGCGGGCUCAACCCGGAGAGUGCAUUCAAAACUGCGAUUCUUGAGUGAAGUAGAGGCAAGCGGAAUUCCUAGUGUAGCGGUGAAAUGCGUAGAUAUUAGGAGGAACACCAGUGGCGAAGGCGGCUUGCUGGGCUUUUACUGACGCUGAGGCUCGAAAGUGUGGGGAGCAAACAGGAUUAGAUACC